rnacentral:misc_RNA from 1 species
GGAAGGAUCAUUACACGACCUGGGCCUGGCCCAGGGUUCGCUGCCUUGAGCAGUGGAACCUUCCACCCUUGCUUAUGCGUACCGCUUGUUUCCUGGGCGGGCUUCGGCCUGCCAUGAGGAGAAAAACCUACCUUUGUCCUGUAUGAAUUGUCUGAUGAUUUGUGAAUCGUUACAACUUUCAACAAUGGAUCUCUUGGCUCUGGCAUCGAUGAAGAACGCAGCGAAAUGCGAUAAGUAGUGUGAAUUGCAGAAUUCAGUGAAUCAUCGAAUCUUUGAACGCACAUUGCGCCCCUUGGUAUUCCAUGGGGCAUGCCUGUUCGAGCGUCAUCUUGCACCUCAAGCUGAGCUUGGUGAUGGGCCCUUUGACUUGGUUCAUGGCCUGAAAUGCGGUGCCCUGGUACGGGUGCUGAUGCCAUCCCCUGGCUUUCUCCGGCGCAGCAGUACGCGUUUGGGAAGGGCGUGGGCGCGGCUUUUUAUACCUUCUUUGACCUCGGAUCAGGUAGGGAUACCCGCUGAACUUAAGCAUAUCAAUAAGCGGAGGAAAAGAAACCAACUGGGAUUGCCCUAGUAACGGCGAGUGAAGCGGCAACAGCUCAAAUUUGAAAUCUGGCUCUCUCGGGAGUCCGAGUUGUACUUUGCAGAGGGUGCUUUGGCGUAGGCCGCGGUCUAAGUUCCUUGGAACAGGACGUCGCAGAGGGUGAGAAUCCCGUAUGUGGCCGCUGGCCUUCGCCGUGUAAAGCCUCUUCGACGAGUCGAGUUGUUUGGGAAUGCAGCUCUAAAUGGGAGGUAAAUUUCUUCUAAAGCUAAAUACUGGCCAGAGACCGAUAGCGCACAAGUAGAGUGAUCGAAAGAUGAAAAGCACUUUGGAAAGAGAGUCAAACAGCACGUGAAAUUGUUGAAAGGGAAGCGCUUAUUGCCAGACUGGCCCGUAGUUGUUCAUCCUCUGGGAGCAUUCUUCUACGGGCCGGCCAGCAUCAGUUUGGGCGGCUGGAUAAGGACCUCUGUCACGUAUCUUCCUGCGGGAUGACCUUAUAGGGGAGGUGCAGUACAGCCAGCCUGGACUGAGGUCCGCGCAUUUGCUAGGAUGCUGGCGUAAUGGCCCUAAGCGGCCCGUCUUGAAACACGGACCAAGGAGUCUAACAUCUAUGC